UACGAAGGGGGCUAGCGUUGCUCGGAAUCACUGGGCGUAAAGGGUGUGUAGGCGGGUCUUUAAGUCAGGGGUGAAAUCCUGGAGCUCAACUCCAGAACUGCCUUUGAUACUGAGGAUCUUGAGUUCGGGAGAGGUGAGUGGAACUGCGAGUGUAGAGGUGAAAUUCGUAGAUAUUCGCAAGAACACCAGUGGCGAAGGCGGCUCGCUGGCCCGAUACUGACACUGAGAGACGAAAGCUAGGGGAGCGAAUGGG
rnacentral:rRNA from 1 species